CUGAGUAGGCUGAACAAUCCCCGAGGUAUUUGGCUCGGUGUUGGCGCAAGCUCCUUGAGCGGAUGGAACUUCAUUCGGAACAGGGAUGACAACAGGCUCUUGAGGGGGAGGUACGCCACCAUCCUCUUCGGGUGGAGUGUAGCCAGGGGGAAGACCGUAUUCAGGCCAGUUUGCAUUCGUAGCGAUCGCAGCAGGCUGAGAGUUGUUUACCAAAGCUUGGACAAGCUCGAGCAUCUUGUCCAUCUUGACUUUCAUUGCGUCAACGUCCUCUCUUAAGGCCGCUUGAUUCUGUCCUUCUUGAUCCAUGAGUCUGUGGAUGUUUGCACGCGUAGGGUAUGAAUGUGGGGGAAGGGGCUCUUGAGCCGAUUUCUUCUUCGAUUUCCUCGCUAUGGUGAAGGGCAAGUCUCCUGAAGUUUCGAGAAGGUAUGAGUGUGUUUUUUUCGUUUUAUUAUUGAAAAAAGGUAAUGCAUGAAUGUGGGAAUGCGAUGCACAAAAAAACAUUUUUAUUAUCAUUUUUGCUUAUAGGCCUUUUAUGACAUAGAUUUGAGAAUAGGUAAUCUUUUGUCAGGUGCCAUUUUCUCAAAUCAAUGUCUUUUCCUUCCUAUAAGCAACAAUGAAUAUGCAAGAAAAUCAGUUUUUGAAUAUCAUGGUAUGUGGAAGUGAUGUUUAGGGUAGAGAUAGUAAAUCAUGUGUUUGUAUAUGUCCCAUCCCAUCUCACAUGUGGUUCUAGAGUUUCUCAAGGUUCCUAAGAUCGUAAACCCUUAUUUGAAAAUAUUAACAUUGCAAAAACUCGCAAGACAAUAAUAUUUCCAAAUAAGGUCUCCUUUAGGUGAGGUUUACGCGUUGACUUUACAAGACAAACGCCAAGAGAGUCAACAUUGCGUACCCCUCAUUAUGUACUAGUAGAGGCCUUCUAACACGUUUAGGUUCUACUUUAAAAGGUCCCUAGAGUCACGGAUCCCUAGAAAGAUACUUGUUCCCAUUACGAAAUUUCGCAAGGUAACACAUCCUUCGAAGGAAUCUACUCUAGGCGGAGUUUUCGUAUUGGUCCUCUCGAGGCACACGCCAAGCAGGCCAAUACUAAACCCCUAACUUAACUUAGUUUCUCUCGAAGCUCGGGUGUAGAGCUUUAUCCACAUGUAACCCAACAUCACAACCCCACAUAUAUAUAUAUAUAACAGAUAUAUUUAUACAAGUAAUAAACAAAUACAACACAUGCAAAUAUUACGGCAAAUAAAGCACAUGACUGAAUAAAGCAUAAAAAAUAAUACACAAUAAACACAAACAAGCGCAAAAACCCAAAAACCUAAAUCUAAAGAGAGUGGGCUCGACUCUCUUAAUUAACCAGUCCCCAGUGGAGUCGCCAGCUGUAGCGCCCUCCCUAAAAAUUAAGGCUAAUUCUAAGGAUGAACUGCUAAUCUACUCAACUAGCUAAUACAAAAACUGCGCGAAGCGAUAAACGCUCGCUAAAACAGUAAAGUCGCCACCGAAUUUUAUUUAUCCCACGCGGCCACGCGGAAAAGGAAAAUAUCGAUAAAACCUUUAAGUGGAAAGGGUGGUCAUCGCAACCAAAAUUCCGGGUUCGGGAGUCGGUUAUGCGAAGGGAAGGUAUUAGCACCCCUCGCAUCCGUUGUACUCAACGGGAACCUUCUCUUUAGAUCUAGGAUUAAAAUUAGUUCUCGCGCUUGUGUAAUGAUGCUUUAUUAUUUGUUCUAUACUAUUUAAUCAAAGAAAAGACAUUAAAAGACACUAAAGACUCUUAACAUUUUUUGACACAAAAAGGUUUUUUUUAUUAAUGUGCUUGACGAGAUACACCAUCUCGCUCCUACGUAUUCCCUGGUGCGAUGGGAAAUUCAAAGCUACACGCAGUUCUAGGGUAGAAAAUAUGUGUUUGUUGGUUGAUUUUAAUUCACAAAAAGGACUCUUUUACACAAACACUCUUUUUAAACACAUAAUAUACUCUUAACUACACAAAAUACUUUUUUAAACACAUGGGACUCUUUUUUAAACACAUGAAAAAAAACACAUAAGACUCCUUUUCACUUACUCAAAGUAUUUCUUAAACACAUGAGACUCUCAAAAACAUUUCUUAAACACAUAAGACUCAGUUAAACAUUUCUCACAAAAAAGACUCAGUUUAGUGCGUUGCGUUCAUUUUAUGGUUUUUAUUACUUUUUUGAAAAAAGAAAUAAUUAAAAGAACGCCGGUUAUCCGCAUUUCGAGGUAAUCACCAAGAAUACGAAUAACCAGAGAACCGGAGAGCCACAUGACAAACCGAUCCUUUUCCAUUCUAUUUUUAUUGAAAAAAGACAAGUUUCUUUUUUAUCACACAAAUAACUUAACAAAAGAGAUAAACUAUUCUAACAUAUUUCACACAAAUAACUCAACAAAAAAGGAUAAACUAUUCUAGCAUACUAAACCCUAAAAAAAAUCUAACAUAUUUCCACCUUUUUACACUAAAAGAAAUAAAAAUACGAAAGAUAAAACACUAAAAAAAGGAUAAAAACACAUUUUUUAGGUCAGGGGGUGUAAAUAGCAGAUCUGGGCUGCACAGGGGGUGUGAAUAGCAGACAAUGGGUUCUGGGCUUAAGGCCCAACGCCCAACCAGCAGAUCAACCAAAAACAAAAAAAAGCGAAAUAGGAAAAACAGGUUUUGUGAUUAAAGCCUCACUAACUAAUACUUAAAACAGGUUUUUUUUUAGAAAAAAGAAAUUGCUAUAAAUAGCACUUUGUUAGCAGAGAAAACGUUUAUUCUUUCAUUAUCUUUCUUCUCUCUUUCUCAGUUCCCUCUUCUCUGCUAGGGUUCAUAAGGAGAGAUGAAUCUUCAUCUUCUCCGGUGGGCUGCCACCACGGAGCUUAGAUUCCGGCGCGGCGGCUGCCGUAACAGUACGACGGCGCCGCCGGAACACUUUUCUUCUUUUUUAUUUUUUUUAUUUUUUUUUUUUGUGUUAAACACUAAAUCCACCCUCAAAACACCCAAAAUCAAACCCAAGAAACUGUUUUUCGAAUCCAAAUCCGAACCAAGACAAAAAGCAAUUAUUCAAAAUAUUUGAUCUAAGUUCUGUGAUUCGUUUUUUAUUCUGGUAAACACACAAAAAUCAAAACAAACCCAAAAGGAAGACUUUUAAACAAAAUAGGAAAAAAAAAAAAAAAAAAAAAGAUAAGUUAAGGUCGAACUAACCCUUGAAGACCAAAAGAUUCGGACUCCUCUUCUUCCCUGCUUUCUUUCUUUGAUAUGUUUUUACUCUUGUGAAAAUUUUAUGUGUUUUCUCUCAAUUGAAAUUUUCUCUUCCCCUUUUUUUUUUUUUCCGCGUGUGUUUUCGCUCUAUUUAUAGAGCUCUCAAGAUCAAAGUUGACCUUUGAUCUAGAGUGUGAAAGGGAUGUACUGUUGCUUGUUGUAGUUAAAGUUGCAGCAAAAGGUGAAGAGAAAGAGGAGGCAAGGAGGCGCAGCAGUACCGGUUGCAGUACUGUUGCGUGUUUUUUUUUCUUUUUUUUUUUUGUAUUGUUUAAAAUUAAAGAAGAAAAAAAAAAUAACAAAUAAUAAAAUAAGAUAAAAGGGAGGGGAGCGUGCUGUUGCUGUUUUUGAACAAAUUUGAUUUUUUUUGAUUUUUUUUAAUAAAAAAAAAAGAUGAAUAAAAUAAAUAAUAAAAAAAAA